rnacentral:rRNA from 1 species
GGGGGGGGGGGGGGGGGGGCGGGGGGCGGGCGGGGCGGGGGGGGGGCCGGGGGGUGGCGGCGGCGGGCGGGGGGGGAACGCGUGGGAGGGUGCCCUUCGGGUCGGACUAGCUCCGGGGGACUUGAGCUGAUACCGGAGCCGCCCUUUUGGGGAAAGGUUUACUGCCUAAGGCUCGGCCCGCGUCUGCUUCGCUAUUUGGUGAGGGUAUGGCUCACCAAGGCGACGAUCCGUAGCUGGUCUGAGAGGAUGAUCAGCCACACUGGGACUGAGACACGGCCCAGACUCCUACGGGAGGCAGCAGUGGGGAAUAUUGGACAAUGGGGGCAACCCGGAUCCAGCCAUGCCGCGUGAGUGAUGACGGCCUUAGGGUUGUAAAGCUCUUUUCGCCGGGACGAUAAUGACGGUACCGGAGGAAUAAGCCCCGGCUAACUUCGU